rnacentral:rRNA from 1 species
CCCUUAGAUGCUCUGGGCCGCACGCGCGCUACACUGUUCGACGCAGCGAGUCUUAACCUUGACCGAAAGGUUUGGGUAAUCUUCAGCAAAGUCGAACGUGAUGGGGAUCGAUCAUUGCAAUUAUUGAUCGUGAACGAGGAAUUCCUAGUAAGUGCAAGUCAUCAGCUUGCGCUGAUUACGUCCCUGCCCUUUGUACACACCGCCCGUCGCUACUACCGAUUGAAUGGUUUAGUGAGAUCUCUGGAUUGACGCUGGCUAGGGGGCGACCCUUGGCCAGGCUGUCGAGAAACUGCUCAAACUUGAUCAUUUAGAGGAAGUAAAAGUCGUAACA